AGGCCACUGCUAUCGGGGUCCGACUAAGCCAUGCGAGUCAAGGGGCUCCCUUCGGGGAGCACCGGCGCACGGCUCAGUAACACGUGGCUAACCUACCCUCGGGUGGGGGAUAACCUCGGGAAACUGAGGCUAAUCCCCCAUAGGGGAGGAGGUCUGGAAUGAUCCCUCCCCGAAAGCUCCGGCGCCCGAGGAUGGGGCUGCGGCGGAUUAGGUAGUUGGUGGGGUAACGGCCCACCAAGCCUACGAUCCGUACGGGCCCUGAGAGGGGGAGCCCGGAGAUGGACACUGAGACACGGGUCCAGGCCCUACGGGGCGCAGCAGGCGCGAAACCUCCGCAAUGCACGAAAGUGCGACGGGGGGACCCCGAGUGCCAUCCCCUUGGGAUGGCUUUUCCGGAGUGUAAACAGCUCCGGGAAUAAGGGCUGGGCAAGUCCGGUGCCAGCAGCCGCGGUAAUACCCGGCGGCCCAAGUGGUGGCCACUAUUAUUGGGCCUAAAGCGUCCGUAGCCGGCCCGGUAAGUCUCUGCUUAAAUCCUGCGGCUCAACCGCAGGGCUGGCAGAGAUACUGCCGGGCUUGGGACCGGGAGAGGCCGGGGGUACCCCAGGGGUAGCGGUGAAAUGCGUUGAUCCCUGGGGGACCACCUGUGGCGAAGGCGCCCGGCUGGAACGGGUCCGACGGUGAGGGACGAAGGCCAGGGGAGCAAACCGGAUUAGAUACCCGGGUAGUCCUGGCUGUAAACUCUGCGGACUAGGUGUCGCGUCGGCUUCGGGCCGACGCGGUGCCGAAGGGAAGCCGUUAAGUCCGCCGCCUGGGGAGUACGGUCGCAAGACUGAAACUUAAAGGAGUUGGCGGGGGAGCACUACAACGGGUGGAGCCUGCGGUUUAAUUGGAUUCAACGCCGGGCAUCUCACCAGGGGCGACGGCAGGAUGAAGGCCAGGUUGACGACCUUGCCAGACGCGCCGAGAGGUGGUGCAUGGCCGUCGUCAGCUCGUACCGUGAGGCGUCCUGUUAAGUCAGGUAACGAGCGAGACCCGUGCCCCAUGUUGCUACUCUCCCCUCCGGGGGAGAGGCACUCAUGGGGGACCGCCGGCGCAAAGCCGGAGGAAGGUGCGGGCAACGACAGGUCCGCAUGCCCCGAAUCCCCUGGGCUACACGCGGGCUACAAUGGCCGGGACAAUGGGACGCGACCCCGAAAGGGGGAGCGGAUCCCCUAAACCCGGUCGUAGUCCGGAUCGAGGGCUGUAACUCGCCCUCGUGAAGCCGGAAUCCGUAGUAAUCGCGCCUCACCAUGGCGCGGUGAAUGCGUCCCUGCUCCUUGCACACACCGCCCGUCACGCCACCCGAGUUGAGCCCAAGUGAGGCCCUGUCCGCAAGGGCAGGGUCGAACUUGGGUUCAGCGAGGGGGGCG
rnacentral:rRNA from 1 species